UGCCCUUCCCCUGCUCAUGCUCUGUCUCUAUCCCUCUCUCUCAAAAAUAAAUAAACAUUUUUUUUAAAAACUUAAGAGGACACAAGUUUGCCCUAUUGUUUAAUGUAGUUGAGUUGGUGUUUUCUGGUAUAUGUGACUUCAGUAUGAAAACUAGCAGUGUGGAAUUUUUUAGGGGAGCACAUUUGAACGUCCUUAUCCAUGUUCAACUGGGAUAGUCAACGUCAGGCUCUCUACUCUUUCCUGAUCAUCUGUUCUUUCUGUCUCAUUGCCACCAAAAAACUGACCACUAGGUUACCUGCUGCUUUCCCUACUUGAUCAUCCAUUGUGUUGAACAUCCUCUUUCUCCCCAUUCAGCUUAGAGGCAAGAUUGGAAUUUUUCAGAAGAAACCUUAUAGAAAACUAAUAAAAUAGAAAAAGAGUGUCUUUUUCCUUCUCCCUCCGCCCUUUCUCCCUAUCCUUCCCUUCCUUCUUCUCAUUCUUUUCUUUUUUAUUUUCUUUUUCUUUCUUUCUUUCUUUCUUUCUUUCUUUCUUUCUUUCUUUCUUUCUUUCUUUCUAUUUAAGAGCAAAGGUGAGACCGGUACCACCUCUGGGCACUUAUCUCAUCUAGGUAGAGAAAAGGGCUUUGUAGUCUGGAUGAGCUGGGCUUGUUGGGGGAAUAAGAAGCAAGCCAGUGGGGCUGGGACAUCAUGAGGGAGGGGCCAAAGAGCAGGACAGAUCACGUGGGCCUUGUGACCUUUGUUAUGACUUAACAAAGAGGACCAUGGGAAACCUGUGCAAGCUUAAUAAAGGAGUGAUUCAGUCUGAUUUAUAUUCGUAAAGGUUCUUUCUAACUACUCUGUGGAAAACAGAUUGCAAGGGCACAGAGGAGCUGGGAGAUGAGUUUGGAGACUGCUUUGGUGUUCCAGGCAGGAGAGGACGGUGCUUUGGCUAAGGAAACUGAAGCUGAAAUUCUAAUGUGAGUUCAGUAAAUGGGUGUUAAAUAAGCUCCCGCCUUAAAAAAGUCAGCAGAUGAAUGAUGUCAUCGGCUUUUCCGAGGAGAGGUAAAAUUGAGACAAGUUGGGAGAACGGCAGGAAUUUGUUAUUUGCUUUGGGGCUUGUCUCAGAAACAAUGAGUUCCAGUCUGGACGGCUGAAGUACAGCUAAGAAAAGAUUUGACCUCACGUGUGAACGUGUUGACCGCUCUACGGGGAGGAGGCCAAGGCCAUCAGGCCACCUGCUUGAAAGAGUCAGUGGCAAGCACGCUGGGCUGGCACAUGUUGCUUUUGCUCCAUAAGGAACGUAUUGCCCAAUUUUUCAUCUAAUAAGCUUUUUCCACCCUUUAAAGACACAUAAAUAAAUGUAUGGGCAAAUGCUACAAACUAAUUUUUGUAGCAUUAUCUGGUGCUAUUGCAAUAUUCUAAAUGUUUUUGGCUCAGACGUAAAUUCUGUGUGUAUGUUUGUGUGUUUAAAGAAAAACUCAAUUUAUAGGACCAUAUCAAUAUUAGACAGACAGAUAUUUCCAACACCCCAUAUAUGCUAUGAACAGUGCAAAAAGGGCUAAUGGUUUGGCACGAAAGGGUAAGAGGAAAAAUGCUAAGGCUCUGGAAUGGAAGACUGGGGCCAGCUUGUGCAGCGCUGUGCUUCCGAAUUUAGAAUAUAUUUUAUCUUCCAGGACAAGGCGGGGCAAUGCAUUUACCUUAGAAAUGAAAAGCAGCCUAAGUAUUGGCUACCUGGAGAGCCACGCUGGAAAGUUUCCCCUGCUGAAAGCAGCUUUAUUGAACAAGUGUGCCCUGCAAGCCAGGAGUGGGAGCGGCCACCCACAUGCUGAGCAUUUGUCAUUCUUUGUCCCGUGGUCCAAGACCCACUGGAGCCUUCUGGCAGAGAAAAUGGCUUCACUGGGUCUGUGCUUAAGAAAGGCCUGUCAACAGUGAGGAGAAUGAGUCAGAGAAGAAGCAAUUAAUGUAAUCGAUCUUGCCUCAUACGUAGCUCUUUUCUAGACACAGGAGACAAUCGAUAUCUCCCUUCGCACUUCCAGCUCGGCACUUGUCAGUUUGGGGGAAGGUGGGGCGAUCUGGCUCCUGGGACAGGAUUCCGUGACAGCAGAUGGCUUCGCCCACCCGCAAAGGAGGGCGGUCUUCUUUUAGGGCCCUUGCCUUGUAGAAAUGGGACCAUAAGUUUGUCUUCACAUCUCAGAUUACAGGACCAAGGCUGUGUGUUUAAUAAGACACAUUUUCUGAACCCCAAGCUGAGUAUCGUUCUCCUGAAUAUUACACAUUUGUUCAGGAAAGUGAAUUCUUAUCUUUUGACCCAAAGUACCUUCCAGAAUCUGCUGGUAUCUGAGCACAUUUCUCGAAAAUCAGAAGCAUUUCUCUAAAAGAGAAAUAGCAGCCAAUGGUGCAGUGUGUCCCUUGGAGUUCCAGCAGGAAACAGAUGGCACUCCCAAACUGAGUAAGUGAGGAAUGUUCAUAAAAGAAUAAGUUACAAAGGUGUGGAACGAUCUUGGGACACGCACAAGGGAUGGUGAAGGACCUUGGGACUACAAGAGCAGAAGGUGAUGGCGAUUGGUAAGCACUUCAUCACGCCCAGGUCUGAAGGGAAAUGUGCCAGUUACAGAUCUCAGGGUUGGUGGUUAUUGGGAGAGGGUCACGGGAGGAGAGCUGUGACACUGGAUGGAAAGAUGUGGCCAAAUUGUGUCCACUGCAGAAAGGGAAUUAAACGCAUUGCCUCCCUUUCCUCCCACUGGGGCUGGGAGCUCAUUGAUACGGUUUGUGCAGAUCAGCCUGCCGGACACAGACUAGGACAGGGAAAGGUGGGGGUGUAUCGGGAGGGCAGAGAGAAAAUAACCUUCUCAGUGCAGUUUUGGCAUGCAGUAAAUCGGCAGAAAAUCAUAGUGAUGGGACAUCAGGGAGAUGUUGGACUCCGAAGCUCCAAGCUCAUAUUCUUCCGCACAAUCAUGGGGAAAAAAACACUCAAAAAACCCUUGCCCAAAUGGCAACAGCCUUAGAUUCAAGUGGUGGCAAAUUCAGGUCCCAGUUCUACUCUUUAAAUCAGAGGGAGAGAGCAGACCUUAUCUGCCAAUUACUGUGUACAUCUGUUCUAACUCGGCUGGGGAUUCCUGAAGGACUGACUUGCUCUCUCUUUCUCGCCUAACUCAGAACACAGGCCAGAAGAGCUGCAGGCUUUGCUCAUGAAAGCAACCAGGGAAAACACACCUGUACACACCUGACCUAACAGAUUCCCACCGGAGACAUACAAGAGACCAUCUAAGGCCUGGAGGACAGAGUGGGCCUGGAGAAUUGCCCUCUCACACCUUCUGUGCAAGAACUUGCUCCGUGGGAACGCUCACAGUCCAGGGAGCACUCCGAGGUGUCUUGACAGCCGGGCUGGAGGAGAGCCCAGGUCUUCCGAAGGUGAAAGAGCUGUGAGCCCACAUCCUUCUGAUGUAAUUAACAACGGACAUGAUUAUUCUUCCUGGUUGUGAUCCCAGACUAUGACACCUUUGAGUCAUGACUGCGGCUUUGUAGGUUAAAAAACUACCGAAACUGCUUCUGGUGGGACAGGAGUGCGACGGUCUCUGUGGACUAGUGAGUUUGAAAAAUCUAUUUGCAAAGCCACAUAGUUAUUGAUUAUAAUAUAAGUGUAAAAAAAGUACAAAAUAGGACGGUUCAAGCACCGUCACAAAAAUGAACUGCAUUUCUCCAUAAAACCUCACGUAUAAAUGGGACGAGCAUUUUCUUUGCAUGGAGUGAGAUAUGGAAAGAUUGGUUCGCAGCCCAGGUGAUUCUUCUUUGUAUCCUUCCUUUCCACAUCAACCUGAGAAAGCACCAUGGUGAGUGAGCUGGCCACACCUCCGAUAUAUGACGGCCGUCGGUAAAGACUAUUUGUUCCUCCCAAGUUAGACUGUGUUCCUCCUGUUCAACAGUGAGCACCAGCAUCUGGGGAUAGGAUCUUGAUUUACUAAAACUGAUACCAAUGUGUUUAGAGCUGUCUGGGAACCACACGGCAAAAGAGAAUCUUUUAAUCGGUUUUCGGAUAAUGGAUAUGAACUGGAACUUACCUUUUCCUACUCUUUCCCACUUAAGAUUCUCAUCACCAACUCAGAAGAGUACAGCAACCGAAACAGUUUAACCCCCUUAUUAUUUAUCCAAACUAACCCUAAGUAGGAAUUUCUCAUAAAUCAAAGUUGCAAGACCUUGAAGAAGAAAAGGGGUGAGAAUAAAUAAUUGACAAGAGCUUGGUACAGGGUCUGAUACAUUUACGAUGUUUACCAAAUGGUAACCAUCAUUAACAUCACGACCUCUUAGACUUUGCCAUUCGUCUUUUUAAAAUUUAUUUUAGAGCAUUCACACACCAGGCUUGUGUCCUCUCCUAUUCUUACUGUUUAGGAAUUUGAUGCCUAAAUUUCAUAUUCACUAUAGCAAAAUUCCACUCCAAGUUAUUAAUUAGCACAUCCCAGAGAGUUAGUUGUAAUGGGAUUUUAACUGCGUCUCUGAAAAUUGUACUCUUGCAUUUAUAAAUUGAACACCAGUUUUGAGAGAGAAGUUCAAAUGGAGUCAUUUCUGGAGUCAAAAGGUGUAUAAUUUUAUUCCUUUACAAGAUACUGAUUUGUGCAAAAUAAUGUUAUUUAUCUUUAGGAGAGAAAUUGCACACUAAUAAAUAUCAGUGAGCUUCAGAAAGCCACUCAGAGGUUGGCCAUUUGACCUUUGAGUGAAGUUCAAUCCAGGUUCUAUCAUAAACUUGAUUUGGUACCUUAGGAAAUUUAUUAAAUCGUCCGCCUUAAUUUCUUCAUCUAUAAAAUGAGAAUUAUGAUAUCACACAAGAUUCAUUCUUAUAAUAUUAUGGUGGAAGUGUACAUUCCUGGAAGAAUGACUCCCAAAUACAGUAUAUUCUUUCUCGGAAAAAUGGUGUAAAAUCAUUUCUGGCCAGGAGCAGACAGAUGGGUGAGAAGGAUUAUCAUGGUGCAGGUAUCUCUGUGCGUUUGUGAUUCCAGUGCCCAGGGAGGCACUGCUACUAAUUUUGAGCAGCUGAAGCCUACAUGGCAUUAAUUAAUUAAUUAAUAAAGUCUAUGUGGCAUAAAGAAAAGGAAUCAUGGUUAUGGGAGAAAAAUAAUCUACAUCUCCACGUGUAUUCCCAGAUAAUAAAAAUGUGCUUCUAUUCAAAUUUGAAAGAGUGCCUAUUUUAAAAACCGAAAAUAUUUACCAGCUGAUUAUAGAGCUGUGACAGUAAUGAUGCCAAAGAUCAAAUUGGACAAAUGGUGCCCAGUACAGAGAAGGCCCUUGGUAAAUGUUUGUUAAAUUAAAUCUGAAUAUAAGUGAUGCGAGAAAUUUUGGAAAUACAAAAUACCACCAAAUAUUAAAUAUCAAAAAUAUAAGAGCCAAAUAUUAUUCAGGAAAAAUUAAAAAUUAAAGCUUAGGGACACCAGGGUGGUUCGGUCUGUUAAGUGUCUGACUCUUGAUUUUGGCUCAGGUCAUGAUCUCACGGUUCACGAGUUCAAGUCCCACAUUGGGCUCCGU